AGGACGAACGCUGGCGGCGUGCUUAACACAUGCAAGUCGAACGGUGACGAUCAAGCUUGCUUGGUCUGAUCAGUGGCGAACGGGUGAGUAACACGUGAGUAACCUGCCCCAGACUCUGGGAUAACCCCGGGAAACCGGAGCUAAUACCGGAUAUGACACCAGUCCGCAUGGGCAUGGUGUGGAAAGUUUUUCGGUCUGGGAUGGACUCGCGGCCUAUCAGCUUGUUGGUGAGGUAGUGGCUCACCAAGGCGACGACGGGUAGCCGGCCUGAGAGGGCGACCGGCCACACUGGGACUGAGACACGGCCCAGACUCCUACGGGAGGCAGCAGUGGGGAAUAUUGCACAAUGGGCGAAAGCCUGAUGCAGCGACGCCGCGUGAGGGAUGACGGCCUUCGGGUUGUAAACCUCUUUCAGCAGGGAAGAAGCGCAAGUGACGGUACCUGC
rnacentral:rRNA from 1 species